GUUAAUGUGUCUGCUUCCUUGGUUGGUAAUUCUUCCAGGUUGUUUGUAGAUUCAAUUGUUUAUCUCUUUUCAUGCUUUAAAAGGAGUUAAGACCAAGGGCUCAAAACCAAAACAUUCUCAUUAUAAUUUGAUGGCGUGAUCUGUGAUGCUCUGUUUUCUUUCUGACUCUACAUUUCUUCUCCUCUUCCUCCCCAGUUCCCGGGUCUUCUAUUUCCUGUUUCUUUAACAAUAUUUUUAUUGUUUGUUCUGUCCAUUUUAUAAUACGAAAACCUUUGUUAUUUAAUUUUGAACAGUAUUUUCUAUAACCCUGUAAGCCACCAAUGAGUUGCAACCCGGUGUGCUACUGGCAGCUAUAUGUUAAAUAUUUUGUGUGAAGAUAUGGUCAAUGAUUUUUGUUGAGACAUCGAAAUACAAAAACAUUAAAUGAAAAAGUAAGCAUGUAAUAUAUUUGGAACUUAAAAGAAAACACUACCAUUAAUUUAGUUUUUCAUUCAUUAUUCUUAAAAAUUGCCUUUGGUGCCUUUUAGCCAAACAUGUCUUUAAUAGUUAUUGUGUGUGUUUUCGUUAUUGUCGGAAAUUUAUCUCUUUCUGUUUGGCUGAAGAAUAUUGAGAUGUUUACAAGCAUGUUUUUCGCCAUGUAGGCUAGGUGCAAUAGGGGGAUUGGUUGUGCAGCGGAUGUUCUUGAGAUGUAGGAAUUGCAUUUCAAAGACUAACGAAGUUGGGGUUUGAAUUGCCUCUUCACUAUAGGUAUAUAAAAGCAUGUUUCGGAGAAAUAUUUUUGAUGAAUCCAAGUGCUAAAUACUGUACAAAAAUGAGACAACUAAGAUGGGCAACUUCUGCUUUGUUAUCCUGGGAUUUUUGCCACUUGGGCUAUGGUGGUAUUUGAGCUCUCCAAACCUAGGUUGACAUCAAGGCUUAGUGGAUGUUUUGGUUUAACUUAUUUAGGAGAAACGAUCGGUCAUUUCUUUUGGCUUUUUGAGAGAUUUUGCUAAAUAAGCUAAUAUUUCUCUAAAUUUAAGUUGAGCCAAGCCAUUAGUUUGUGCUCACUCCAAUUACUUUAGGAUAUGUUUGGGAGUUUGGAUUUGGAAAGGAAGGGAGGGGAGGCAAAUUUUUUAAUUUAUAAUUUUAGAUUAGUAAGAAAUUAACCCAUAUAUCUCCGACAUAAUUUUUAUAAACUUAUAUGUUUGCCCUCCUCACUGUUCUCCUUCAAAACCCAUGGGACAAUUUAGCCAUAGGAACCACUAGGCAUUGUGACUGAGGUUUUCUAUGGGGGUUUUAACUUGUUCUUCACGCAUCAGUUAGGAAGGAACAGGAAUUAUCAUCUUCUGAUAUCAUAUAAAGUGCAAGCAGUUUAGGUUUCUGAAACCAGGAUGAGGCAGGACAGAUGUACAGAGCAAUAUGUUCCCAUUUUUGGUUAGACUACCUACCUUAACUCCUGUAACAGUUGAAUUUUCUACCAUCUUACCAUGCUUGAGUUCAUUUUUUAAAGCGGGAGAGGUUUUGACUCUGGUAUGUUUGGUUGAGGUGAAAGAAAAUCAUGAUGGGGAUAUUUUUUUCUGUUUGAUUAGCAAAACGGGAAGGAGAAGAGUGAACUGGAUUUGUUAAAUUAAGUUUCAAUCAUUUCUUUCACUUUCCCUUUAAAUCAAUUUUCACACCAUUCUCUCGAUUCCUUUUUUACUGUACUAAACAGAUCCUUGUGUGAUCUCUUUUAUACGAUAAACAAAACGAAGGGAAGGUGAAAUUUGUUUUCUUUUUUGAAUUUUAGCUGUUAGAAAUAAUAUUUUCUUCCUCAUUUUUUGGUUUUUUUUUUUAUAUAUUUUAUUUUCUUUCUAUUUUCGUCCGUACUUCCAAACACACCAUUAGUAUAAAAUCUGAAUAAUAUGAUUAUCUUCCAUCAAAUUUAGCUUCAAUUGAUUGGGUAGUGGAAUUUGGAAACAUUCUGCGGUGGGCUUUUGAGGUCGUAACGGGUAAACUCUGAACUAUCAUGUUCCAAGACAGUUUGAAUAAACAACCAGCAUAACUGGUUUUCCCGGCUCCUUCGCUUCAGGUUUUCCCAAACGAUGGCACGGUGAAUUCAGAAAGAGAAUAACGGAUCUUGUUCACGUUUUAGCGUUUGAGGUAGACAUAUUUUUUUCAUUCUCUUUUGUAGUAUGAUGUCUCUGGUAUAAAAUCUUUUAACUAAGCUUUCAUUGAUGUGGAUGAAAUUUCACAUGCAUGUUUUUUGAAAGAUAUAGGACUUCAAACUAUUCUGGUGUUGAUGUUAGUGCACUGAAAACAAAACUGUUAAUCUACUUUUCAGUGUGCUCUUAUUUUUAUAUACUUUGUCAAAUAUGGAACUUUGUUGGUUGUUU